rnacentral:rRNA from 1 species
GUCAGGAUGAACGCUAGCUACAGGCUUAACACAUGCAAGUCGAGGGGCAGCAUGGGAGUUGCUUGCAAUCCUGAUGGCGACCGGCGCACGGGUGAGUAACGCGUAUCCAACCUUCCCCUUAGUAGGGCAUAGCCCGGUGAAAAUCGGAUUAACACCCUAUGUUCUUCACAGCAGACAUCUAACGUGAAGCAAAGGUUCACCGCUAAGGGAUGGGGAUGCGUCUGAUUAGGUAGUAGGCGGGGUAACGGCCCACCUAGCCUUCGAUCAGUAGGGGUUCUGAGAGGAAGGUCCCCCACAUUGGAACUGAGACACGGUCCAAACUCCUACGGGAGGCAGCAGUGAGGAAUAUUGGUCAAUGGGCGAGAGCCUGAACCAGCCAAGUAGCGUGCAGGAUGACGGCCCUAUGGGUUGUAAACUGUCUUUUAUAGUGGGGAUAAAGUUCACCACGUGUGGUGUUUUGUAGGUACCAUAUGAAUAAGGACCGGCUAAUUCCGUGCCAGCCGCUGC